AUGUGGUCUCUCUACUUAAGGUUCCCCACAACUUAAAUGUGGAUGUGCUUGCUUUGUUCUGAAAAGAAAGUGCUUCCAUGUUUUAGUGAUGGUGAAUCCUUUUUCUCAACUGGAAACUU
rnacentral:precursor_RNA from 7 species